rnacentral:lncRNA from 1 species
UUUUUCCAAGAAAGCAUUGAAUUUAAAUUACAAACGACUAAAUCAUAUUUUUUGAAUGCUUUUUCUUUUCCCUUUUCAACAAAUUCUAUGAUAAAACUUAAAAAUAAAAAAUAAAACUGGAAACUAAAAACUAAAAAAUGAACACGACAAAUAAAAAACUAAAAAAUGAAAUUACACCAAAAAUUUGGUGUCUACAGUUUGCCCCUCUUUGUCCGAGUUUUGAAAAAACUUGAGACAAAGAAGUAGACACCAAAACUUACCUGUGUUAUUCGGCUGCGAAUUACUCAAAUGAUGGGGACUGUCCCCUGAUGGGAAAUUUUAAAAGCGGGACUGACCCGAGAUAGAAAUUUAAAUGGGACUGACCCGAACAGGAAUUUAAAUGGGAUAGACCCGGACCGAAAAGUAAAUGGGAUAGACCCACGGGAUAGACCCGGACUGAAAUGUAAAAUUGGGAUAGACCCACGGGAUAGACCCGGACAGAAAUUUAAAAUUGGGAUAGACCCACGGGAUAGACCCGGAC